rnacentral:rRNA from 1 species
GUGUGUGAAGAAGGCCUAGGGUUGUAAAGCACUUUCAAUGGGGAGGAAAACCUGCCGGUCAAUACCCGGUAGCUUGACAUUACCUGUAGAAGAAGCACCGGCUAACUCCGUGCCAGCAGCCGCGGUAAUACGGAGGGUGCAAGCGUUAAUCGGAAUUACUGGGCGUAAAGCGUGCGUAGGCGGCUCGUUAAGUCAGAUGUGAAAGCCCUGGGCUCAACCUGGGAACUGCAUUUGAAACUGGCGAGCUAGAGUUGAGUAGAGGUAAGUGGAAUUUCAGGUGUAGCGGUGAAAUGCGUAGAUAUCUGAAGGAACACCAGUGGCGAAGGCGACUUACUGGACUCAAACUGACGCUGAGGUACGAAAGCGUGGGUAGCAAACAGGAUUAGAUACCUGGUAGUCCACGCCGUAAACGAUGUCACUAGCCGUUGGUCCUAUUUACAGGAU